rnacentral:rRNA from 1 species
AACAGGAUUAGAUACCCUGGUAGUCCACGCCGUAAACGAUGUGGACUUGGAGGUUGUGCCCUUGAGGCGUGGCUUCCGGAGCUAACGCGUUAAGUCGACCGCCUGGGGAGUACGGCCGCAAGGUUAAAACUCAAAUGAAUUGACGGGGGCCCGCACAAGCGGUGGAGCAUGUGGUUUAAUUCGAUGCAACGCGAAGAACCUUACCUACUCUUGACAUCCAGAGAACUUAGCAGAGAUGCUUUGGUGCCUUCGGGAACUCUGAGACAGGUGCUGCAUGGCUGUCGUCAGCUCGUGUUGUGAAAUGUUGGGUUAAGUCCCGCAACGAGCGCAACCCUUAUCCUUUGUUGCCAGCGGUUCGGCCGGGAACUCAAAGGAGACUGCCAGUGAUAAACUGGAGGAAGGUGGGGAUGACGUCAAGUCACCAUGGCCCUUACGAGUAGGGCUACACACGUGCUACAAUGGCAUAUACAAAGAGAAGCGACCUCGCGAGAGCAAGCGGACCUCAUAAAGUAUGUCGUAGUCCGGAUUGGAGUCUGCAACUCGACUCCAUGAAGUCGGAAUCGCUAGUAAUCGUGGAUCAGAAUGCCACGGUGAAUACGUUCCCGGGCCUUGUACACACCGCCCGUCACACCAUGGGAGUGGGUUGCAAAAGAAGUAGGUAGCUUAACCUUCGGGAGGGCGCUUACCACUUUGUGAUUCAUGACUGGGGUGAAGUCGUAACAAGGUAACC